UGCUCCAGGUUGCCCAUACCUAGCUAGGUAAAGGGAUCCUUUGUGAUUCCUAAAUACUCCUCCUCUCCUUAUCUGUAGAUUUUGUUCUAGUGGAAUGGUGAUAAAUUGAUUGCAAUUUUAAAGUUUUGGAGUAUGUGCUUAUUUAUUAAGUUUACUAAUAGAAGUCACAGUGUUCAAAGCAGACUGGUCACCAGAAUCUUCCAGCUAGGGAUAUUGGAAAAGAACUCCAGUUCUAUUUUGUUAAUUUUGAGAACUGGGGCUAUGACUGAGAAAGGUGGCCAGGGGCAUUUGUAUGGGGCUGGUAGAGGUAAAAUUCUUGGGUGGUGUAAGAUGAACUAUAGUAAAAGAAUUUGCCAAGAACUUUGUCAUUAAUUAAAUAAAAACCAGAGGUUCAAAGAUGAUCAGAUAGUUCUGACCAUAAACGAUGUCAACUAGGGAUCUAGGGUGUUGUUUCUAUGACCUGCAGGGAAGCUUCAGGAAAAUCAAAGUCUUUGGUGCUG
rfam:Alligator mississippiensis ScZkoYb_111.2, whole genome shotgun sequence.